GAUGAACGCUGGCGGCGUGCCUAAUACAUGCCAGUCGAGCGAACAGACGAGGAGCUUACUCCUCUGACGUUAGCGGCGGACGGGUGAGUAACACGUGGAUAACCUACCUAUAAGACUGGGAUAACUUCGGGAAACCGGAGCUAAUACCGGAUAAUAUAUUGAACCGCAUGGUUCAAUAGUGAAAGACGGUUUUGCUGUCACUUAUAGAUGGAUCCGCGCCGCAUUAGCUAGUUGGUAAGGUAACGGCUUACCAAGGCAACGAUGCGUAGCCGACCUGAGAGGGUGAUCGGCCACACUGGAACUGAGACACGGUCCAGACUCCUACGGGAGGCAGCAGUAGGGAAUCUUCCGCAAUGGGCGAAAGCCUGACGGAGCAACGCCGCGUGAGUGAUGAAGGUCUUCGGAUCGUAAAACUCUGUUAUUAGGGAAGAACAAAUGUGUAAGUAACUAUGCACGUCUUGACGGUACCUAAUCAGAAAGCCACGGCUAACUACGUG
rnacentral:rRNA from 1 species